UACGUAGGUGGCAAGCGUUGUCCGGAAUUACUGGGUGUAAAGGGAGCGUAGGCGGGAAAGCAAGUUGAAUGUUUAAGGUACGGGCUCAACCUGUACAAGCGUUCAAAACUGUUUUUCUUGAGUGGAGUAGAGGUAAGCGGAAUUCCUAGUGUAGCGGUGAAAUGCGUAAAUAUCAGGAGGAACACCAGUGGCGAAGGCGGCUUACUGGGCUUUAACUGACGCUGAGGCUCGAAAGCGUGGGUAGCAAACAGG
rnacentral:rRNA from 1 species